CAAUAGCGUAUAUUAAAGUUGUUGCAGUUAAAAAGCUCGUAGUUGGAUUUGUGGCGUACGGUGGGUUCCGGGCACUUGUUGUCUGAGUAACUUGCUGUUGCCAUCCUUGGGUGGAACCUGUGUGGCAUUAGGUUGUCGUGCAGGGGAUGCCCAUCAUUUACUGUGAAAAAAUUAGAGUGUUCAAAGCAGGCUUGUGCCGUUGAAUAUAUUAGCAUGGAAUAAUGAGAUAGGACUUUUUUGCUAUUUUGUUGGUUUGCGCAAAGAGGUAAUGAUUAAUAGGGACAGUUGGGGGUAUUCGUAUUCCAUUGUCAGAGGUGAAAUUCUUGGAUUUUUGGAAGACGAACUACUGCGAAAGCAUUUACCAAGGAUGUUUUCAUUAA
rnacentral:rRNA from 1 species